rnacentral:rRNA from 1 species
UACAGAGGUGGCGAACGUUGUUCGGAUUUACUGGGCGUAAAGGGUCCGCAGGCGGAUCGGUGUGUCGGAUGUGAAAGCUCACAGCUCAACUGUGGAAUUGCAUUCGAAACUGCCGGUCUAGAGUACUGGAAGGGAGAAGGGAACACUUGGUGUAGCGGUGAAAUGCGUAGAUAUCAAGUGGAACACCGGUGGCGAAGGCGCUUCUCUGGACAGAUACUGACGCUCAUGGACGAAAGCCAGGGUAGCGAAAGGG